UCGGAUAUGGUAUAACGGCUAACAUUGCCGCCUCUCAUUCACAGAUACGCGGUUCGAUUCCCCGUAUCCGAA